rnacentral:rRNA from 1 species
ACGCUCGACACCUACGGGAGGCAGCAGUGAGGAAUAUUGGUCAAUGGGCGCUAGCCUGAACCAGCCAAGUAGCGUGAAGGAUGAAGGCUCUAUGGGUCGUAAACUUCUUUUAUAUAAGAAUAAAGUGCAGUAUGUAUACUGUUUUGUAUGUAUUAUAUGAAUAAGGAUCGGCUAACUCCGUGCUAGCAGCGCGGUAAUCUGAGCGGGCUGGCAAGGC